GACGAACGCUGGCGGCGUGCUUAACACAUGCAAGUCGAACGGAAAGACCCUGCUUUUGUGGGGUGCUCGAGUGGCGAACGGGUGAGUAACACGUGAGUAACCUGCCCUUGACUUUGGGAUAACUUCAGGAAACUGGGGCUAAUACCGGAUAGGAGCUCCUGCUGCAUGGUGGGGGUUGGAAAGUUUCGGCGGUUGGGGAUGGACUCGCGGCUUAUCAGCUUGUUGGUGGGGUAGUGGCUUACCAAGGCUUUGACGGGUAGCCGGCCUGAGAGGGUGACCGGCCACAUUGGGACUGAGAAACGGCCCAGACUCCUACGGGAGGCAGCAGUGGGGAAUAUUGCACAAUGGGCGGAAGCCUGAUGCAGCAACGCCGCGUGCGGGAUGACGGCCUUCGGGUUGUAAACCGCUUUCGCCUGUGACGAAGCGUGAGUGACGGUAAUGGGUAAAGAAGCACCGGCUAACUACGUG
rnacentral:rRNA from 1 species